rnacentral:lncRNA from 1 species
UUAAUUUCUGUAUAUACAUUGUUGUUAAGUUUUGAAAUGGUCAUCAUCUGUUUCAUGUUUUCUAGAAGGAAUAUCCGUUUCUGCUAACAAAUGUAAAUGUACUGCUAAAUUUUUUUUUGUAGUUUGACUAAUGUCGUCUGAUAAGGAAAAAGUAACGAAAAAGAAUGAAUCUACAGGUAAAUCUUUUUUUGAUGAUGAUUACAUAUGUCGGAAUUUUGUAUAAUUGUGUAAAAAUGCAGUGGGCGAUGUCAAGCGCGCGAACAACGUGGUAGAGAGUCUAAUUAAAGACAUCGACUGCUCUUUCACGAAUUUAGAGAGAGAGUCUUUGCCCGAUGUAAAUCAGUUCAUUAUUUCCAAAAGGAAACGAGGUAAGUACCUGUUCACAUUUUAGAAUAUUUGUGUAGUGAAUACUAAGUACGACGAUCGGAAUUUUGGUACUUUUUAGGUGAAAAUCUGGAGAAAUCUAGAAAGAAAAAGAAGGAAAUGGACUUUGAAUCUACGCUACGAAAGGUGAUGGCGGAAGAUCGUAAGAGAAUAAACGCAAAGAAAUCUCCUAGUGAUGUCGUCAUAUCGCAAACUAGGAUGAAGAAGAAGACUAAGGCUAUUAGGAAGAAGAAAUUGACGGUAGUUCAAGACGUCGAUGACCAAGAAGAAGAAGAAUUACAACCUGCUAAAAUUCAAAAAGAGUCCUAUAAUAAGAAGAAAGGUUCUGCGUAUAAGAAAUACAGCUGAAAUCUAGGGUAAAAUAGAAAUUUACCCUAAGAAACUAAGUUAGGACCUAAGUUAAAUAUAAAAAGUCCUAAGGUUUCUACAAAACAGAAUAAACUGUUUUGUAUUAACCAACAGGGGUUUUAUAUGCAAAAGUUCCAAUUAAUUUGUUAGUUGGACCUAAAGCAUAAUACAAAUAAUAAAAGGGUUCUAAAUUACUACUGUAAUGUUUUUACAGAGGUCUUGAGUAUAAAAGUUUCAAUUGUUUUAAUAUUAUAGUUUUAUAUUAAUCCAAGGACUUUUAUAUAAAUCACAAAUCAAAUAAAAUACCUAUGUGUAAAUACUAAUAACUCUUGGGUAUUUUUUGCAGAUUCAUUAAAAUACACAAUUGUCAAGUUGGACCAGGACUCGGAUCAAAUAGAAGUCCAGCCCACAAGUCCAACAAGUUUUAGAAUUAGUUAAAGUAAUUAACUAGUAAUUUGUGUAUAUAUAAUAGUGUAUUAUGAAUAAGUUAAUCACUCAAUUAAAUCAAACAAAUUACAUUUUGGAUUUAAUAAUACAAAAUCAAAUUCCCCU